GAUGAACGCUGGCGGCGUGCCUAAUACAUGCAAGUCGAGCGAACAGACGAGGAGCUUGCUCCUCUGACGUUAGCGGCGGACGGGUGAGUAACACGUGGAUAACCUACCUAUAAGACUGGGAUAACUUCGGGAAACCGGAGCUAAUACCGGAUAAUAUAUUGAACCGCAUGGUUCAAUAGUGAAAGACGGUUUUGCUGUCACUUAUAGAUGGAUCCGCGCCGCAUUAGCUAGUUGGUAAGGUAACGGCUUACCAAGGCAACGAUGCGUAGCCGACCUGAGAGGGUGAUCGGCCACACCGGAACUGAGACACGGUCCAGACUCCUACGGGAGGCAGCAGUAGGGAAUCUUCCGCAAUGGGCGAAAGCCUGACGGAGCAACGCCGCGUGAGUGAUGAAGGUCUUCGGAUCGUAAAACUCUGUUAUUAGGGAAGAACAAAUGUGUAAGUAACUAUGCACGUCUUGACGGUACCUAAUCAGAAAGCCACGGCUAACUACGUG
rnacentral:rRNA from 1 species